rnacentral:misc_RNA from 1 species
GCAAAAUUCGAAUAAUUAAUUAAAUAAUCAGAAAAAAUCGAAAAAAAUCAGGAAAAAUUAGGAAAAAUUAGGAAAAAAUCAGAAAAAAUUAGGAAGAAUUAGAAAAAAUAAGGAAAGAUUGAAAAUAAAUCUACGAUGGUGUAACUUCAGUUGCAUUUCAUAAAACACUUCCAGGACCAGAGGAAGAUGCGAUAACCCCCCAGAUCAGAGAAAAUUAAGAGAAUUCAUCUAAUUUAUAAUCUCUAACGCGUGACAUUCGGCAACAUGUACAAAAUGCAGCGUACUCUACUCUCCUCCUUGGAUCUCGAGACAUUUUUCAAAGGUUGUCUUGCUUGCUCAGAGCCCCACAGGUUACCUGCAUCUCGGAGGCAUCCAUACAGCUCUGUGCGACACGGUGCA